GACGAACGCUGGCGGCGUGCCUAAUACAUGCAAGUCGAACGCAGUUGGGACGGGUGAGUAACACGUGGGUAACCUCCCAUCAGAGGGGAUAACACUUGGAAACAGGUGCUAAACCGAUACUGAUGGCUGAACCCGCGGUGCAUGAGCUAGUUGGUGAGGUAACGGCUCACAAAGGCUACGAUGCAUAGCCGAUCUGAUAGGGUGAUCGGUCACACUGGGACUGAGACACGGACCAGACGCCUACGGGAGGCAGCAGUAGGGAAGCUUCGGCAAUGGACGAACGUCUGACCGAGCAACGCCGCGUGAGUGAAGAAGGGUUUCGGAUCGUAAAACUCUGUUGUUAGAGAAGCGGUAUCUAACCAGAAAGCCACGGCUAACUACGUGCCAGCAGCCGCGGUAAUUC
rnacentral:rRNA from 1 species